rnacentral:rRNA from 1 species
AUUGAACGCUGGCGGCAGGCCUAACACAUGCAAGUCGAACGAGUGGCGGACGGGUGAGUAAUGUCUGGGAAACUGCCUGAUGGAGGGGGAUAACUACUGGAAACGGUAGCUAAUACCGCAUACCAUCGGAUGUGCCCAGAUGGGAUUAGCUAGUAGGUGGGGUAACGGCUCACCUAGGCGACGAUCCCUAGCUGGUCUGAGAGGAUGACAAGCCAAACGGGAACUGAGACAAGGUCCAGACGCCGACGGGAGGAAGCAGUGGGGAAUAUGGAACAAUGGGCGCAAGCCGUAUGCAGCCAUGCCGCGUGGAUGAAGAAGGCCGUCGGGUUGUAAAGUACUUUCAGCGGGGAGGCGUUACCCGCAGAAGAAGCACCGGCUAACUCCGUGCCAGCAGCCGCGGUAAUAC